CCUUCCUUCUAGACCUAAAGAAACCCUUCUGCAUUCUCAGAAUUAUGAGGACAACGACCCUGUCCUCAUAAUUCAAAAUGUCCUCAUAGUGUGGCUUGUAUUCAUGCAAAAUAUUCUCAUAAUACACAAUAGCAGACACACACACACACACACACUCAAAGGUUUGGACACACUUUGUCAUUUAAUGGUUUUUCUUUAUUUUCAUGACUGUUUACAUUGUAGAUUCUCACUGAAGGCAUGAAAACUAUGAACACAUAUGGAAUUAUGUACUAAACAACAAAGCAUGUUUUAUAUUUUGGAUUCUUCCAAACAGCCACCCAUUGCUUUGAUUACUGCUUUGCACACUCUUGUCAUUCUCUCAAUGAAUGAACCUGAAAUGGUUUUCCAACAGUCUUGAAGGAGUUUCCAGAGAUCUAUUAUUUUAUUUUUUCAGUGGUUUAUUUCAUUUUUUGGUUAUGUUAUUUUUCCAGUUGUUUAUUUUUUUCCUGGUUAUUUAUUUUAUUUUUCCAAUUAUUUGUUUUCCUUGCUGGUUGUUUGUUUCAUAUUCUAAUUGUUUCAUUUUGGUAGUUUUUGGCAGUUUUCCAAUUUGUAGGAGCCAAAUUGCGAUUUGUGUUGAUUUUCACACAUUCUUUCAUUUUAUUAGUAUGCUUAUGUGAUGGGAGGAAUGGAGAGAGUGUGUGUGUGAAGGUGUGCCCUUGAGGAAGCUGUAGGUGGAGCCUAAGGUAAAGGCUUCAAGACCAGCUGCCACAGCAUCUGUCUGGGUGUGGCUGAGGAAGGAAAAAGUUUUUUGACCAUGCAGCUGCAAGAAGGAACAAGGCCUUCUAAAGACUCUUUCCUUCAAAUCUUUUGUAACCGGGGUGAAAACUGAGGUUGAAAUACAUUUUUCCACUCGAUUUUAGUUUUUCCCACAUUUUCCCUGCCCCUGAAUGCCUCAUGACAUGUGACCAGGUCACAUGACAGCAAUCAUCCAAUCGGUGACUUCUCUAGCCCUAUAUAAGCUGCUCUGACGCCACUCUCCUCAGUUGUGUGGGAGAGGAGCCAGAGACAGCAGCUGCUCAGAAUCCAGACCUGUACUUUUGUGUUGGGACUCUACCUUGUUUUGUGCUUUGUGAUCAUAAGGAACUGGCCAGGUGCCCCUGAUCCACCACGGAUUUCCUGUAUCUAUUCGAUGGCGAGCUUCGAUCCCAAGCCAGGAGCCUGAAGAAAUCCCAACCCUUUGUCAACAUCCCAUGGUCUGGUAGGAGGCUUAGCAGCCUGCUCACUCUCCUACCUUCUCACUACUGAGCCCUUUCACAUCCACCUACUCCCCCUCUGGACAAUUUGCGCGUUGGAAACUACCCACCUCGAACAAUAAAAGCCCCAAAUGAACAAUUGCGUUCAGUAUGCGUUUGGAGCCACCCAAAUGCUUGGUCGGACCUUGGGAUGCAUUUUGUUUUCUUUUUCUAGUUUGAUUUAUUGAACUUCAUGAGAAACAGAAACAAUUGUAUUGUUGACUGGUUGUUGUUCUUUUGAUUGAUUGAUUAAUCUGUGCACAGAAAUUACUGCAGUUUGUAAAUACGUUUUGCUUUAUUUUGUUCACAUUCUUAUAAUAUAUUUCCACAUUUAAAAUCAAAUUACUAUCUCCUGGUCUCAUUUACUGCACUGCCCUCCAGUAGCCGAAUCUAACCUUCUGUCAAUAGCCCAGUAUAUAUUCUCACCUAAUUCAACCACUUUUAGUAUUAUCAUUAUUUAACGCUACACACUCCUGGUUGUAAGUAAUUACAUAAUUACAUUGUAAUAAAGCAAACUCUUGCUACAAUUUGUUAAUUGAUAUUUCAAUUUAUCUGUAAAUUCAUUCAAGCAAUAAAUGGUCAUUGGGAAGAACUGGAGCCACUACUCAUCUUUAUCUGCAUGUGUCAAGACACAAAUCCAACUCAGCCAUCAUUUUACUUCAUUUAUUUCAUUUUUUGGUUAUGUUAUUUUUCCAGUUGUUUAUUUUUUUCCUGGUUAUUUAUUUUAUUUUUCCAAUUAUUUGUUUUCCUUGCUGGUUGUUUGUUUCAUAUUCUAAUUGUUGAAUUUUGGCAGUUUUUGGCAGUUUUCCAAUUUAUAGGAGCCAAAUUGCGAUUUGUGUUGAUUUUCACAAAUUCUUUCUUUUUAUUAGUAUGUUUAUGUGAUGGGAGGAAUGGAGAGAGAGUGUGUGUGCAGGUGUGCCCUUGAGGAAGCUGUAGGUGGAGCCUAAGGUAAAGGCUUCAAGAACAGCUGCCACAGCAUCUGUCUGGGUGUGGCUGAGGAAGGAAAAAGUUUUUUGACCAUGCAGCUGCAAGAAGGAACAAGGCCUUCUAAAGACUCUUUCCUUCAAAUCUUUGUUAAUUGAUUUUUCAAUUUAUCUGUAAAUUCAUUCAAGCAAUAAAUGGUCAUUGGGAAGAACUGGAGCCACUACUCAUCUUUAUCUGCAUGUGUCAAGACACAAAUCCAACUCAGCCAUCAGUAAAAGUCAAACAGCAAACCAGAGGGGUUGGCUGAAAUUGCUAUUACACAAUUGUUUAUGUCAUUUUCCAGUUGAUUAUUUUAUUUUCUGGUUGUUUAUUUUAUUUUUCCAGUUGUUUAUUUUAUUUUCUGGUUGUUUAUUUCAUUUUCCUGAGUCUUUAUUUCCCCCGGUUGUUUAUUUUAUUUUUCCAGUUGUUAUAAGAAAAUGUUCCACCCAACAAGCUUAAUGUCAUCUCCUCUUCCUUCACUGUUCACCAAACUUUCUUGUGCGCUGUCAUUACUCAAUACAUCCUGUGUAUCUUCUUCGAGGCUGGCAAGACCCUGAUGUGUUUCUAUUAACGUCUCCGUGCUUUUAUAUUGAUAGGCUGGCAUCCUACAAAGUAUUAUGGUAACUUCCUCUGACUACCUACGUUUUUUUUCCUUUCUAAAAUCUG